UACGUAGGGGGCGAGCGUUGUCCGGAGUACUGGGCGUAAAGCGCACGCAGGCGGUCUGUUAAGUUUGGAGUGACAGUUGGUGGCUUAACUGCCAAAGUGCUUCGAAAACUGACAGACUUGAGGGCUUCAGAGGGACACGGAAUUCCGGGUGGAGUGGUGAAAUGCGUAGAGAUCCGGAGGAACACCAAAGGCGAAGGCAGUGUCCUGG
rnacentral:rRNA from 1 species